GAUGAACGCUGGCGGCGUGCCUAAUACAUGCAAGUCGAGCGAAUGGAUUAAGAGCUUGCUCUUAUGAAGUUAGUGGCGGAUGGGUGAGUAACACGUGGGUAACCUGCCCAUAAGACUGGGAUAACUCCGGGAAACCGGGGCUAAUACCGGAUAACAUUUUGAACCGCAUGGUUCGAAAUUGAAAGGCGGCUUCGGCUGUCACUUAUGGAUGGACCCGCGUCGCGUUAGCUAGUUGGUGAGGUAACGGCUCACCAAGGCAACGAUGCGUAGCCGACCUGAGGGGGUGAUCCGCCACACUGGGACUGAGACACGGCCCAGACUCCUACGGGAGGCAGCAGUAGGGAAUCUUCCGCAAUGGACGAAAGUCUGACGGAGCAACGCCGCGUGAGUGAUGAAUGCUUUCGGGUCGUAAAACUCUGUUGUUAGGGAAGAACAAGUGCUAGUUGAAUAAGCUGGCACCUUGACGGUACCUAACCAGAAAGCCACGGCUAACUACGUGCCAGCCGCCGCCGUAA
rnacentral:rRNA from 1 species